rnacentral:rRNA from 1 species
UACGUAGGGGGCAAGCGUUGUCCGGAUUUAUUGGGCGUAAAGAGCUCGUAGGCGGCUUGUCACGUCGGGUGUGAAAGACCGGGGCUUAACUCCGGUUCUGCAUUCGAUACGGGCUAGCUAGAGUGUGGUAGGGGAGAUCGGAAUUCCUGGUGUAGCGGUGAAAUGCGUAGAUAUCUGGAGGAACACCGGUGGCGAAGGCGGCAUCCUGGACCAUUACUGACACUGAGAAGCGAAAGCCAGGGGAGCAAACGGG